UGGCCCUACGGGAGGCAGCAGUGAGGAAUAUUGGUCAAUGGACGAGAGUCUGAACCAGCCAAGUAGCGUGAAGGAUGACUGCCCUAUGGGUUGUAAACUUCUUUUAUAUGGGAAUAAAAUGUUCCACGUGUGGGAUUUUGUAUGUACCAUAUGAAUAAGGAUCGGCUAACUCCGUGCCAGCAGCCGCGGUAAUACGGAGGAUCCGAGCGUUAUCCGGAUUUAUUGGGUUUAAAGAGAGCGUAGGUGGAUUGUAAGUCAGUUGUGAAAGUUUGCGACUUAACCGGAAAAUUGCAGUUGAAACUGGG
rnacentral:rRNA from 1 species